AUUGGAGAAGGAAAUGGCAGCCCACUCCAGUGUUCUUGCCUGGAGAAUCCCAGGGAUGGCGGAGCCUGGUGGGCUGCUGUCUAUGGGGUUGCACAGAGUCGGACACGACUGAAGUGACUUAGCAACUUUUACCUUCAAGCAGCACAAAAUAUGCACAUUAAAGUUAUGGCAUUAACUGAGAUAAAAUGACAAUAUAAUGAAUAGAAUCCCAAGCUAAUACUCAUUGACAUGAGAAUUUGAUAUAAAAAUAUGAACUCGGGUUUUUCAGAUCUUUCAAAUUCAUCAUUAGCCCUUUAGGAAAUGUAUUUGAAAUCUCAAACUAGAAAUUAGGUUAAAAUGCCAUUUUAUUGUGUAAGCUAUUGGGCAUUAUACAACAAAUAAUCUAGGAUUUGUUUGGUAUUAAUAAUUUAGGUAUCAUAUUAGCUGAAUACUAUCCUGUAUUACGUAACCUAAUAUACUGUUGGGUUAGUUUCAAUUUCUCAAACUCUCCCAGGCUGCUGUGAUGAUGUCUGACCUAAUUUCUAUUCCUCUUGGGGAAAAAAACCCACAGAAAUGUUACACUAAGGAUUCUGCAUUUCAAAUGGACUUUACCCUUGUGAUGUUAAGUCAUGCCAUAUUCAAAUUAUUUUUGUGAAUGAUAUCUACAUAUGUUUAUGUCCUAUAUGAAAUGACUAGCCCUGGAGUGUAGUGUGAUAGAAUUCGACAUGGUCUGUAGGUUAUAUAUAGACACUGACAUGUGAUGAUACAGUGCCCUGUGUUUCUUAGCACAAACCCGUAUAGUACAAAUGUCCACAUACUUUUUACUUAAAAACAAUCCCAAUUGCAGUUUAGCAGUGCAAAAUUAACCGGCUCUAUGAUAGAUUCUUGACAUUACAAUUUAAGGUACAAUAGCAACCCAAAUCAGAAUUUUUGUGUGAGUCUUACUGAUGUAAAGCCAUUGUGGAUUCUGCCUGCUAGUUAUUUAUUUGUGUACCUGCUUAGUGUGCAAUCCUGUGUGUGAGUGUGCGCAUGUAUGUGACGUCUCAGCCUGCCGGAUAGAACUUAUAGGCUUAGUGUUGUUUAAUGUUAUUUGGCAUCCACUGCUCUGGCCUCUGGCACUUACUCAUGACCCUGAGAACACAUCUACCCCAUGAGAUGCAAGCCCAGUGACACCAUCAGCCAGAACUCACAGGUCACGUCAGUGAAAAAACAGCAGAAAGCACAAGAAGUCGGAUCUGAAAGCAACCUCUGGUGGCUUGAUUUUUCAGAUGACUCCCCUCAGGCCCACAGAGCUGCAAGACGGUUUGUUCUGCAGCAAAAGGGGGACCAGGACUUUGCACGACGGUUUCCUCCUGCUCCUUCCUAGACCUGUCGCCAUCUCUGUUGGGCUACAAUCUCCUUUCAGGGUGGAUGAAUACCCUUUACUAACUCAACUAUUGUUUAAGGUCUUUGUUUUUGUAGAUUUAUAUAUUCGUUUUAGUUAGCAUCUACCUCUCUGGGAAAUGAAAGGAGGGUUGAUUUAGGGAUGAGUAUAGACAAUUAAAGAGAACGUAUGAUCUGAAUUUUUUGAGUUGCAAAACAUUGAUUUCCCCCCUGCCUCCCACUUUACCUGUAAAGGACAGUAAGUGUUGUGUAAAUAGUAAACUAUAAGAAGCAUGGAUUUUUCUUUAUUAAUGAUCUUGACAUAACCAAGAGAAUGCUGAAUAUGCUAAGUAGAGUCAAGUAUGCUAUCAAAAAGCAUUGUUUUUGGAAAAUUUUGUACAAUGACCUGGGGCAUAGGUUGUGAUGAAAAGGCAAUAGGUUCUCUGUUCCAGUCAUACUUUAUGAUCAGAAACGUAUAAGAUAUUUCCUUUAAAAAUAUAGUUACGUUUAAUCUUGCACAUGACUUAAGAGUGGUUCCCUUGAUGGUUAAACCUUGUACUGGUGCAGCCCUUGGGAUCUUCAUGAUUGGCACUGCUCAAUAGAAUGUUCUGUGAUGCUGGAAAUGUUCUAGAAGUUAUGCUGUUCAAUACAGUAGCCACAUUGGUUACUGGGCAACUGAAAUGAAAUUAGUCUGAAUGAGGAACUGGAUUUUGUAUUUUAAGUUAAUUAAAUUGCUGCCACUCACAUGUGGCAAGUGGGUACCAUUACUGGACAACGGAGUUCUGGAGGGCUGUGCGGUGGGAUCUAGCAUCAGGGUGUUAGUGGAGUAAAUGGCAGGUGGAGAAGACAAUUUGUGGUUUAGUGACAUGCAGUUGGCUUAAAUUUUUUUUUUCCUUUCUGGGCUUAAAAAUAAAUGAUCUCAAGUAUGACAGUAAAACUGCAUUGAUUGCCCUUUGGGGGUUAUUACUUAGAUACUCUGGGUCAAGGAAAACUCAGUGAAGCUUCAAAGAGUGCUUGAUAAAGCCCCUUUUCUGGGGUCAUUAGCUGCAUGGGAAUCUAUUGUCCAAAAACAGGAAGCAGUUAGACAGGAGCUGCAGAAUGUUGGACCUGCACACCCUGCACUGUGAAGCUGUGUUUAGGGUCUUGUGGCCAACAAGUAAAUGUUACAGAAAAAAAGAAGAAAGCCUAAUGAAAUCCCUCUUCACUUUCAACCUCUCACUCAACCCUCAUCACUGCGUGAGCAAGGUGUGAAGUGUAAGAGCGAGCACGCUCUGUGUGAGCAAGGCGUGAAGUGUAAGAGCGAGCGCGCUCUGCGAUGCUCACAGGCAGUGUUUUGUUUGCCCUUGAAGUCUGCCAGCUCGUCCUUGUAUUUGAGGGGGGCAUAGGUGGGCAUCGUUUUUCAGAUGCCAGACUAAAAUGUAGGUACUAUUUUUAGAGUGAGAUUUGACAUUGUUUUAGUCUUUUUUUUUUUCGUUAUCACUGAAAUAAUUGAAGAUUUGAAUCCUUGCACAAUGACACUUUGUUUGACAUUAGGAAAACAUUGCCCAUGGAAUGUAAACACCUGAAGGUUAUUAAAGUUACUAAAAUUGCUUUUUAAGUGAGUAAAGGGAAGCAGAACAUUCAAUUUGAGAUAUAUUUUCAUUGAUCAGACUCUUCCUGAAAGUACAGUAUUUAUUCCAGUCUAGAUUUUGAUUUAAAGAGCUCUCGUAGUUUUAUUUGAAAACUUGCACUAUGUCUAAAGUGGUUAGUCUGCUUUUUAUUGUCCAAAAUAAUGUUAAUCAAAUGCAUUUGUUUCAAUUUAGCAGAUUUUUUAAAUAUAGAACUUGUCAAUGAGCAGGACUCUUUAGUUUGUCCUUAAAAAUGAUUACAUUUUUUGCCCAAUAAUAGAUUUUCUUUAGACUCAUGAGGAAAUUAGAGGUCCAAAGAUUAUUGGUAUGGCAGGAGUGAGAUGCCAGUGAAUUUCUAUCUUCUCUUAGAAAAGUGCUGCUGCCAACUAGUCAGCAUUCCGUUUCCACACGAGGCGUGUCAUCAGUCAGUCAGUCUGCCAUCCUUGACCCAGAAGGAGAAGCUGUCCCUUACCGUUUUCAUCAUCCUCAGGAAAACGUUACCCACAAAGCAAUCCUUACCAGAACGGGAACUGCAGAGGAGAAUGAGGCAGUCAAGAUAAUUCAGUAACUGUUUGAAAGUGAUAGUCUAUUUCAAGAGAUGAUGACCAGUUGCGGAAUUUUGUUAAACAUGAAACAUUUCUAAAAAAAUAAGUGGAAAUUCAAGCCAUUGACUUUGCUGACACAAUUGAUUCACUGUAUAAAGAUAUAUGUCUAUACAUACAGGUAUAAAUAUAUGCAUAUACAUAGGCACACGAUUUAGCCAUAACUGAAGCUUAAAAAGUCUAGUAAAAUGUUUGUCAUGUUUUCCAAUGUGGGUUAUAUAAUGUUGAAUUUAGGUAUUAAUUUUCCAACAAACGCUAUAGGCCGCAUCCAUUUUGUCAAACCAGCUAUCUUUGGAGUGUCUAUAUAACUAAGCUCUCGAGACUUCAUAUAUAUGAAGAGGUGAGAUCUACCAUAUGAAGAACAUUAGUGGGUGGGACAUUUAAUUUCUGUCUUUCAAAUGACUUAUUUUUUGGCUCUGCUCAGGUGGUCAUGAGUAGAGCACCAUUAUUCUUGAACUCUUGCAAUAUGGCUCCAUUUUUCUGCACAAGUUUCCUUGCACAGUUGGGCCAAUGUUUUUUUUUCAGGACUCACUGCCUGGGGUAUCCCACUAUCUAUAUCUCACUUAUGAUGUAGUGGUGCUUGAAAACACUCAUCUUGUUAGCUGGACUUUAUUAUUCUAGUCUAAGGUUUUUGAUACUAUUCAUAUUAUGAUCUUUUUUAGAGACAAUCAGUAAUAUUUGGGGCAAAAGUACUGAGGGGUCUCUUGAAGUCUAAAACAGCAUGUAUUUCUGUUUUUCUGAGGGAUGUUCUCUUAUAGCUGGCCUGGUUCUUCUAGAACACUGCUGUAAGCUCAUCGUGGGAUGCAGGGCUGGCCCUGUGAAGGUCUUCUGUGAUCUCCGUGGGCUGUGUUACUGGAUUAUUCUAAUGAGAGUGUUCCAAAGGGAAGCUCAGUUUUUAAUUUGACAUUUGCAUUUUGAGAAUCCGGAAGUAGACGUUUGGAUAUGAUGGUAGUGAAGGAGCAUGGGCUGAAAAAGGAGGAAAUAGAUGAGGCAGGUGCCCCUUAAAGGGAAAAAGUUGAGGCAUCUAUGUCACCUCUCUUUCGAGAGUGGGAGGACACAAGAGCUGGUGUCUUUCACUGCGCUGCAGAAAACUCCCGGUUGCAUUUUCCUGGCUGAGAGACAAGCGGACUCUUAGGCAGGCCCUGUGUGGUGGCGGUCGGAUGUGACCUUGAGCCUGUAGCAAAAGAGAGGCAGGCACGUCCAGGAAGCGAGAAGACAGUGGCACAAAGGGGGGAGGCCCUAGUGAAACUAUAGCUCCUAAGCCAAACAGAAGCUGAAGGUCAGUCGUGGCAGAAACCAGCUGAAGAAAGAACACAGAAGAGUGGGAAUUAACUUAGCCAAGCACAAUGUGUCGUUCCAGUAUGGCCCACCAAACUCAAUUCAGGAUGUGUCAACUGAAGACCUAGGAAGGUGCUCAGCUGAUGGGAGCGUCCGAGGAGGCCCUACUGGGUGUCAGGCGGCAGACCAUACAGUUUCAGGACCUGCUGUCGGGCUGGCAGUUAAGUCAUUACAGACAAACUCCAGUGAUGUCCUCUUACCUGAGGAGUGCAGUGCCCACGCCUGUGGAUGUAACCUGACUUGAGUAGGUUGAUACUAUUGGGAAGGCUCAUUCAGAAACAUUUUGGUUUCUCUCCUGGUUGUGGUCAUUUAUUAUAUUUUUAUUCUACCACUAGUUCCCGUUUUGUUCCAUUGGCAGUUGCAGGAGGCUGGUUUCAGCCUGGGACGGUUACACGCUCCCAGCAUAAGCCACACAGCCGCUGCACUGAGGCCCUGCCCCCGGGACGGCUCCGCUGGUGGGGUUCCUGGCCUUCUUGAUAACUAGUACUCCAGUCAAAUGGCUAGAUGAAUGCUGCUCAGAGGCUGUUAACUCAAGUCCUUGACCUGUUUCAUUUACAGUUCCAUGGAUUAUUUAUUUUAGAAUCUUUUUAAAGGGGCCAAACAGCCCUUAGAUAGCCCUACAGAUAAAUGAGCUGCUGGGCUGUGUAGAGAAUAUUGUCCAAAUGUUGCCAAAUACUGACUUCAUAAGGGGGAUAUCAAGCUGCUGUUUAUAAAUCUGAAUGUCUUAAAAGCAUUCUUGCUUGCUCUCUCUGUUGUAGGUGGUGUCUUAGCAAGUCCUGAGUUUUUCCAAUGAACCCGAUUUUAAUAUAUGGUAUUUUUGUAUGCCAAUCUGGUGUCUUGUCCUUUGUAUAUGUGGUAAUGUUGAUUUUAUGACUACUGUUAAAACACAUUUGCUAUGAUUAAAAUUCAUGAAAUGAUUUCAAAUAGACUCAUGUGUUGGUUUUCUUCCCCCCAACCUCACGAAGAGAGAAAAAAAAGCUGGCUGGAAUUUUCAUCAUCAGAGACUCUAAGAAUUUUAAUAGACUUGGGUCAUAAAGCAACAAGGAGCUCCUGAGCCAAGGAUUUUAAGUGGAGGUGACCUUCAAGUGGCUCCUCUGAGAAGCUAAAGAAUGCAUUUUAAUGACACGCCCAUUACCCCGGGAUUCUGAGCACAUAUAAAUGAUCUGCUCAGGGCUGGCAAACAAGAGCUGGUGAUGGAUGGAGAGCGAGCAGACAGUCUAAAAGCAUUCGUCAAAAGGGCUCUUCCGUCCCAGAAAUGCUUGGUUAAGCAGGUUUUCCUUUCAACUUCCUUACUGACGGCUGUCACUGCGAUCCAUCCUGCCAAGUGGUGUGUUCUCGGCUCCCAGCCUUCAGUGUGAAGACAGGACUGGACCACCGUCUGCCUCACAGGGGUCGCCUGGACUCUUUCUCUGCCUCGAGUAGCCCUGGAUCGCUCUGUCCCUGUUUAGUAAAGAGUCGGUGUUUGCUGCUGCUGCUGCUGCUGCUAAGUCGCGUCAGUCGUGUCCGACUCUGUGUGACCCCACAGACGGCAGCCCACCAGGCUCCUCCGUCCCUGGGAUUCUCCAGGCAAGAACACUGGAGUGGGUUGCCAUUUCCUUCUCCAAUGCAUGAGAGUGAAAAGUGAAAGUGAAGUCGCUCAGUUGUGUCAGACUAACAAGGACUUAUUCAAGGAAAUUAUUUAGAUUAUUUAAAAAUUAUUUGGAAUAUGUAUAUAUAAAACGUGCAUAUUGUAUAUGACCAGCCCCAGUCAAUUUUCAAGAAAAUGAAGUUACUAAAAGUCUUCAGAACAAAUGGGUGUGCAGCGUUCAUGUAUGUUUGUGUCUAGCACCGGAUAUUACCACACACACAAGUUAUUACUGUGGUUUUCCAGAUGAGGAUUCAGAAUAGAAAGGUCAGAUAACAUUCCCGCAGCCAUACAAGUAGUUAGUGGUGGUGCGUGCGCGCUAAGUUACUUCAGUCAUGUCUGACUCUCUGCGACCCCG